UUAAACCAUCUUCAGCGGAGUAUGGUAAUAAAUAUCUUAGUGAUUAAAGCAAAAAAAUAAAUGAAAAAUGGGGAAUUAGCUAAGAAAUAAAUCUUAGCUAAGAUAUUUCACAGCUGAAUUCCUAGAACAUGUGUCAAAUGGGGAAUAGAUGGAGUCUAAGUGAAACAAAGAAAAAAAAAACUUGCGCGUAAUAUAUCUUUUGUUCUUCCUUCUCUCUCUGACGAUGUCAUUCUUGUAAUCUCCGAAGGCGAAACGAGCAGAUCUGUGGCGAUCGGGUUACAUAUCCUUUGCCAUCUUCACCAGCUGGAAAUCAGGUUGUGCCAGAAGCAAUCAUUGAGGGUCAAAAUAUCAACACAUUAUCAGCUGAGCCCCACAUAGCUGGUCCAGAUGCAGUAGAGAGUGGUCAUUAUGCAAUAUCAGAUCAGGUACGUAUUGCCUUAACAAAAGAUAAUCGCUUUUGCUGUUCAAAAGGCUUCCAUCUUUGUAAUGCAGGAAACAAUGGUUGCUCAGGAUGAGUUUAAUGUUCUCUGCCAACUAAUGUAUGUAGUUUGUUUCAGUUUAUGUUUAAUCCGUGUUUGCUUCAAAUGAGUUUAUGUUUCUGUAUUUUGAAUUCUUGAAUGAGUUUCUGUUCUUGGUUGAGUUUGAAUGAGUGUUUGUGUUCAUAAGAUAUGUGGUAGCAUCAGUUUAUUUUCUUUGAGUUCUUGAAUGAGUUUCUGUUAUUAAUUGAGUUUGAAUGAGUGUUUGUGUUCUUGAAUAAGACUGAUUUAUGUUUAAAUUUCUGAUCUUGAAUGAGGAUAUGCGGAAAGAGCCGAGAGCCAAGAGGAACAACACCAACAAGCCGACAUCAACUCCAGUUUCAUGGUUUGUGUCAUGGUGUCAUGUUUUGUGUCAUCACUUCUAUUCAGCACCAACAACCCGAGAGCAACUUCAAUCUUCUAGUCAACACCAACAACACCAACUUCAGGAUCACUCAGCCGGAUUAGAAAUGAUAGAAACUCGUCAAGG